rnacentral:rRNA from 1 species
CACCAGGUUGAUUCUGCCUGAACGUGGAUGCUAGUCUCAUAGGUUAAGCCAUGCAUGUGGAAGCGAAGCCUUUAAGGUGGAGCGGCGUACGGCUCAGUAACGGGCGAUCAAUUUGAUCUGCCUAUACGGACAUCCUCUGUAAACGGAGGGUAAAACGUAAGGGGGGCGUUCCUAGCGGAAGUUCGCCAAACCUGUAAAGGUGAGGCAGAGUAAGAAGCCAUCCCAUCAGUUAUUAAGUAGGGUAAGGGCCUACUUAGACGAAGACGGGUACGGGGAAUUAUCGUUUGAUUCCGGAGAGGGAGCCUGAGAGACGGCUACCGGGUCCAAGGACAACAGCAGGCGCGAAAAUUACCGCAGCCUGCGAUCAGGGCGGUAGUAAGGAGACGUGAUGACGAAGUGCUGAUAAAAGCUGCACUAGUGACAGGAGGAAAAGACUGGUGCCAGCACCCGCGGUAAUACCAGCUCCUGGAGUGUCUAUGAUGAUUGCUGCAGUUAAAGAGUUCGUAGCCGAGGCAUUAUUAACUGCGUUAAAGGGGAUAUCUCAAUUAUCCCUGUGCGCAGUGAUUUUGCAGAAUAAGGAGUGCUUAGGGGCUAGAGUAUCAUACGGCGACUGGUGAAAUGGGAUGACCCGUGUGGGAGUAACAGAGGCGAAAGCGCUGGCCAGGGGCGAAUCCGAUGGUAAAGGACGUAGGCUAGAGGAUCGAAGACGAUUAGAGACCGUUGUAGUUCUAGCAGUAAACGAUGCCGAUGUCGUGGUGCCGAAAAAUGGCGACGCGAAAGAGAAAUCGAGUAGGGCCCUGGGGAGAGUACACGCGCAAGCGAGAAUUUAAAGGAAAUUGACGGAAGAACACCACAAGGAGUGGAGUGUGCGGCUUAAUUUGACUCAACGCGGGACAACUUACCGGGCCCGACGACCGUAAGAGUGUGACACACGAUAGGUCGAAGAGUGGUGCAUGGCCGUUAACGACGAGUGGAGUGAUCUUUGGGUUAAGUCCGUAAAUUAGUGAGACCUCAGCCGUAAGGGACAGGUGCGCAAAGCACAGGAAGGAUGGGUCAAGGACAGGUCAGUGAUGCCCUUAGAUGGUCCGGGCUGCACGCGCACUACAGUGGUCGCCGAAAUUAGCUGAUAAUUUUAAAGGCGAUCGAGAGGGAAUGAGCUUUGUAAGAGGCUCAGGAACGAGGAAUUGCUAGUAAUCGCGGACUCAUUAAGACGCGAUGAAUACGUCCCUGUUCUUUGUACACACCGCCCGUCGUUAUCGAAGAUGAAGACAGGCGCGAACGAUCUACCAGAAAGUGAGCGCAGGUCUUUAGAUCUGAUACAAGUCGUAACAAGGUAACC